UCCUCAGAGAGCUUCUGCCUCGUUCCUGACAGAUGGACCUACUCUGUAAUUAUUAGCUUUCUAGCCUGCACCUGGGCCCAAUUACAGUCAAGAUGACUACAGCUGGCACUAGGUAUCAGCA